AAGAUGCGGGCGGUUCGCCGCUUCUUCGAGGAAGGCGACAAGGUCAAGCUGACGCUGCGUUUCCGUGGCCGCGAAAUGGCCCAUAUGGAACUCGGCAUGCAGCUUCUGAACAAGGUUCGGGAAGAGGUCGCCACGAUCGCCAAGGUCGAGGCCGAGCCGAAGCUCGAAGGCCGUCAGAUGAUGAUGGUUCUGGCGCCGCGCUGAGUUUGCGCGCUGCCUGCCACGGAUGAACCCAGUCCUUUUCAGGGUUCAUUGAGCAAAAUUUUUGA
rnacentral:misc_RNA from 1 species